GAUGAACGCUAGCGGCAGGCUUAACACAUGCAAGUCGAGGGGUAACAGGAUAGCAAUAUUGCUGACGACCGGCGCACGGGUGAGUAACACGUAUGCAACCUUCCUUUAACUGGGGCAUAGCCCGGAGAAAUUCGGAUUAAUACCCCAUAAUAUCAUAGAAAGGCAUCUUUCAUUGAUUAAAGCUCCGGCGGUUAAAGAUGGGCAUGCGUACCAUUAGCUAGUUGGUGAGGUAACUGCUCACCAAGGCUACGAUGGUUAGGGGGUCUGAGAGGAUGAUCCCCCA
rnacentral:rRNA from 1 species